GACGAACGCUGGCGGCGUGCUUAACACAUGCAAGUCGUACGGUAAGGCCCUUUCGGGGGUACACGAGUGGCGCACGGGUGUGUAACACGUGAGUAACCUUCCCACAACUUUGGGAUAACGCUAGGAAACUGGUUCUAAUACUGGAUAUGUGCCCCUUCUUCAUGGUGGGGGUUGGAAAGCUCCGGGGGUUGUGGAUGUACUCGCGGCCUAUCGGCUUUUUGGUGGGGUAGUGGCCUACCAAGGCGGCGACGGGUAGCCGGCCUGAGAGGGUGACCGGCCAAAAUGGGACUGAGAGACGGCACAGACGCCGACGGGAGGCAGAAGGGGGGAAUAUUGAAAAAUGGGCGCAAGCCUGAUGCAGCAACGCCGCGGGCGGGAUGACGGACUUAGGGUUGAAAAACGCUUUCAGCAGGGACGAAGCUUUUUGUGACGGUACCUGCAGAAGAAGCACCGGCUAACUACGUG
rnacentral:rRNA from 1 species